UCGGGUCCAUGUGACUAGGGAAAGCAUUAGGGUCCAUGUGACUCGGGGAACGCAAUAGGUCCCAUGUGAACUGAGGGAAAGCAUUAGGGUCCAUGUGACUGGGGAAAGCAUUAGGGUCCAUGUGACUAGGGAAAGCAUUAGGGUCCAUGUGACGAGGGAAAGCAUUAGGGUCAUUAGGGUCCAUGUGGACUAGGGAAAGCAUUAGG
rnacentral:lncRNA from 1 species